CCCGGUGACGGGGUUGAAGUAAGAGGAGUUCUUUUUUUUCUCCCUUUUCCCUUACAGGGUAGGCUCGCUCCCUCACAAGAGGGGAUAGCCUAUACACUACAGGCUUUAUAGUGGGUGGGAAAGCACUAUAAAACAAGGUGGUUGUAAGGGGGGAGAGGGCACUCGGCAAGUGGGAGUGGGUGCUGUAUAGUUAUAGCAGGUCUGAAGUCAGGUCUUAUAGGGUAAGUCCUGGGUAGGUCCUUAUAGGGUAGGCUCUGGAGGAGGUUACCUGGGAGAUAUCUAAAUCCUCCUCCUGAGUAGAUCUUACAGGGUAAGUACAGGGUAGGGUCCUAUAGGGUAGGCUCUAUGAGAGAGGCUACCCGGGAAGGGGUUGAGUUUGACAGAGUAUAGGGUAGGAGCUCUCAGGGUAGGCGUAUCUCAGACUUGCAGGCCAGAUAUCUCGACAAGGAAGCGAGUCGACAGGAUAAGACCUAUAUGAUUGUGAUGCCCGAGUUGCUAGCUAUACGUGGGAAUUAAAAAGUAAAAUUGAAAAUUUUACAGAAUUUUCUCUAAGUCGGAAUGCUUAAAGUCCUCAGAACUCACGAAAAAACCCGUUUCGUGAGUCGUCUUGGCGUUUUUCCCAUACAAAUCUUUUUUCGGAAACCCACAACCUGUACGGGAACCCUCUGAGCCGUGUUUUGGACCCAAGUGGGGUCGGUGGGUAUAUGAGAAAGUGUGAUUGUCUGGGUGCAAGUCCAGACAGUGGCACUAACUCCGCCCCAAACUUAGUGUGUUAGCGGCAAUGGGAUAGCGAUCGAUAGUGGUAUACUGGGAAAAGCCUAGCGCUUGCGCUGGGAAGAAUACCUACUGCCUCUAGCGAGACCUAGCCGUGAUCAAUAGUGGUAUACCGGGAAAAGCCUGGCGUUCGCGCCGGGAAGAAUACCUACUGCCUCUUGCGAGAUCAUCUAGAUACUGACAUCUGGAUUAUUGCUGCUGUCAUUCCGAGUUGGGUGUGCUGCUGUGUAAGCAGUGGCUUCUGGGCCUUUGUAUACCUACUAGAUAGGGCACCUAGGUCNUUUUUUUGUUCCAUAUUUGCAGGAUAUCUAUAGGGCUCGUCCACCUUCUUGAGAUGCUACUCGUCGCUGUUCGGGCUUUACUAGAUAUUACCCCCCCUAGCAGUGCUAUUCGUAGUGCUAAAUCUAGGAUGAUGCGCAGUGGUCAUCGGGCAUAUUUCUUGUCUCGGCGGCUUCUGUUUGGGCUUUAUGAAUAGUUGACCUUCGGGUUAACGAUAGCAUGAAGCAGCGGGAGAUACUUACCCGGUAACUGCUCUUUUUUUGAGCACUUGCCGGUCUAAGUCUCCUCUUGGGACCUGUAAGUUCCACUGUCGUCAGUUUUAGGGCUGUUGAUUUGUGUGGCGGACCAGUGUUCUAAGGAAUUUAGAGGGAAAUAUUGGAAGGCGGUAUAGUGUGACGGGCCUUGCCUUAAUCACUACGCCGUCAGCCGCUAGGUCUUGGUUUAGGUGGGAAAUAUAGCGUGACUGGGCAGUAAAGAACCCUUGAUCGCUAUAUUAUUGAUUAUAGUGCUGACCAGUGCUAUCUUAACAGCUAUGCUAGUUAUGCUGCUAGGUUUAGUUAUUGCAUGCGCUAUAUCACCCUACUAGGCCUUGGUUUAGUUGGCUUAAAGGUAACUAAUCCUUCCGUGCUGUAAAGCCGGUUGGCCAANUUUUUUUUUGGCGCACGAUAGU
rnacentral:misc_RNA from 1 species